AAUGAUCAGGGCUCUAAUAAGCGUGGGCGUCCCUCGCGGUCCGCUGCCUGUAAACGUGGGAGCUAUGUGGAUGACUUUGUGGCCCCAGAUGACAUGUCUGAGCCAGAGGAAGAGGAAGAAGAUGACUCGGACAAGAACCAGGACAGCGACUUCCAGAUCAGCGGCCUGGAGGAAUCUGGGAGUGACUGGGAAAUGUCCCAAAGGUCAAAGAAACAGAAACCAACCAGACAAGGCACAAGAAAAUCCGCCCGUCAGGGGAGAAAGAAGAGGUACACAUCAGACUUCUCAGAUGAGGAUGAUGAGGAAUAUGUACCUCGCCCCACCAAGAGGAGGGCUAGCAUGUCUGCCAACAAAAAAUUCAAAUCCUACAAACGUGAUGACGACAGUGAAGAAGAUUCAGAGGAUGAGAAACCUUCCAAGAAAUCACCAAAGAAAGGCCGUGGUCGAGGGACACCAGCAAAAGGAAGAAGGCGGAGGAAUGUAUCGGAGUCAGAGGAGGAGGAAAGUGAAGAGGAGGAGGAAGAAUCAGAAGAGGAGGUGAAGAAAAAGUCAAAGAAAAAGAAACAGAGUUCUGAGGAAGAAGAGGAGGAAUCUGAGGAAGAAAAGCCAAAGAAGAAGAAAGCAAAGGCAGAGAGUGAAAGCGAAGAGGAAACCUCCAGCAAGGAGAAAAAAGAUGCUAAGCCUGCUGGGAAAAAGAGACGCCGUCCUUGUCAGUUUGGGAAAAAAUGCUACAGGAAAAAUCCUGUGCAUUUUAAAGACUACUGCCAUCCAGGUGAUGAGAGCUAUGAAGCCAGUGAUGAGGAUAAAGGUAGCAACCAAUAUGGUUCCGACAGCUACAGCUAGCAAGGUUUCUACUGGAGAUGAUGAUGAUGGACUACCAAACACAUACGACUACAAUGACAGUUUUAUCGACGAUGACGUUGAUUCCAACUCCUCGAUCGCAGACCCCGAGGGGGAAGACUCUGACUAUGUUCCGGAGGAUUCCCAAGACCUGAGAGAUCUCAGAAAAGAGGCGGGAAAGUUUAUGAAGAAUAAAAAAAUGCAGCAGAAACUAUAAUGUCCAUCAAAUGGACUGUCGAAAUAUGGCCAUGAAGACUUUUUUUUUUUUAUUUAGUUUUGUCAAUGUUAAAAAAAAACAUACACAUUUCUUUUAUCAUCAAAAACAGUAAUCAUUUAUAUUGUUAUACAUAUACUUAUUUUCUAGUUUUUUUUUUGUUUAAAUAUUUUUCAAGGCAUUUUUUGUUCCUCUGUCACCCAGAAAAAAAUGUAUUAUUUGAAAUUUAACAUAAAACAUACUUGCAAGACUAAUCACUCAAAAACGAAAAAUAGGAAAUGUCCUCUGAAAGUGUUAUCUGCAAGAGUUCUUGGUUUAAAAUAAUUUGAUAUAAUAAUAAUAUUUAAAUUUCUGGUAUCUCUACUAAACUUUCCCUAAGCUAAUGUGACGGUCAGUCAAAUUACAUUCAUAAAUCUAAGUACAGUUAAUGGGUUAGGGUAGACCUAAUAAUAUCAGUAAGUCAUUCCUUUAAAGAAUACCUGCAAACCCAGUCAGUUUUUGAUAUUAUGGAAAUCUAUGUUAAGAAAAAACAUCAUCCUGAAAAUUUUACUGCAAUCGCAUAAGUACUUAUUAUUGAAUCAUUUUACAUUUAGUGAAUGUUAACUAUAACGAAAGAUCAUUGGGAUUUUGUUUGGUUUUUUUACAUUCACGUUUUUAUCAUUUUUGCAGUCGAUAUUUUUACUAUACAUGUAUUUUAAGCCAUUAUCUAUGAUGUUUCUUCCCCAAUUUUCAUGAAAGGUUACAAAACCUUCUUCAUUUUGAUUUUUGGUAAUCAUCAUCAUCUUCGUUGUCAACAUCUUCUCCACCACGUUUCAAAUGUGUUCAUUUUAUUCCUCCAGUGUGCAUGGGAAUGUCUGAACUGAAUCCAGGAAUGAGUUAUGUACAUUUUUAUCACUUCACAAGGAUUAUGUAAAAUAUUUGAGUUGGAAAAAUCCAAACCUUUUAGUCUGCAGGUUCAGGACUUUCCAUACUGCCCUUUGUACCUGUAGGAUUACAGGGAGGUUGUUUACAUGUACAUAUAAUCAAAUGCAGUCUUAUUGUUUUGGUCUAUAUGUUUAGUAUUCCAGCGAUUUAUUAUACAAUAAAUGCUUGAUGUUUUAGUUUUCAUGUAGUGAAUGUUUUAUGUCGAAGACAUGUACGAUUGAUUUUGUUUUAGUUUUUCUCCUGCAUUUGUCCACUUUGAUAAAAUUUAUUGAUCUCUUUCAAAAUUUUACUCUGACUACUUUCGUAUCUACGCAAACUGGAUAAAGUUUAUAAUGUAUUAAAAAUCAUAGGUUUGUUGUUGGCACUGUGCCCAGGAUGUGCUACACUCCCUGAAUUUAGAAUUGAAUUGAUAUUGAAAGUUUUUAUCUCAACUGAUUUAUUCUCAGCAAUAUCUUGAUCUUUGAAUACAUAGUAAUUUUAUACAUUUGUACAUCAUAUGUUUUUGUCAAUCAUUGUCCUUAAUCAUCAGUUGCAUGCAUACAUAUGAAAGAAAAAUUUGGUGUAAAUAUUUACAUCAGUGGUGUUUUGUGUGUCUAGAAAAAAAUUAGGACUAUAACUGCUACAUUUCAUAAAAAAAAGUAGCCAAGUUAAUGUCUGUUGUAUUUACAUCUACCGGUAAAUAAAGCAGUAAGUACAGAU
rnacentral:misc_RNA from 1 species